rnacentral:rRNA from 1 species
CAGUAGGGAUACCCGCUGAACUUAAGCAUAUCA